GACUUCCUACGGGGGGCAGCAGUGGGGGAUAUUGCACAAUGGGGGAAACCCUGAUGCAGCGACGCCGCGUGUGGGAAGACGGUCCUCUGGAUUGUAAACCACUGUCCCCAGGGACGAAGAUGACGGUACCUGGGGAGGAAGCUCCGGCUAACUACGUGCCAGCAGCCGCGGUAAUACGUAGGGAGCGAGCGUUGUCCGGAAUUACUGGGUGUAAAGGGAGCGUAGACGGCAGGGCAAGUCUGGAGUGAAAGGCGGGGGCUCAACCCCCGGACUGCUCUGGAAACUGCCAGGCUGGAGUGCAGGAG
rnacentral:rRNA from 1 species